UGCCUUCAGAAAUUUGGACACUUCGAACUUCCUGGAGCUGAUGAAUAGCUUGAAGAAGGUGCCGGUUUCACAACAUUCUCGAAGUCAAAAAUCGGCCAUCCUGUGGUUCUGUCACCCUAGUGCGUCCAGAACCUGGCCUUCUAUGGUAGGACCCAGUUUCUCGAAAACGUCUAACAGCGUCUCGCAGAGUUUCUUAUGAACUAGCCGCAGACCUGGUGGAACAUCCAUCAUCAAUAAAUGCCAUACCACGCACAACAUCCUCAGAACUAAAUGGCACUGUUUACGCCGAUCGACCUUUUGAACCCUUCUGGAGGUCUCCGGCCCGUCGGCGAGUCAGUUGUUGCCUAGAGCCAAAGCCGAAAACAUCGUUAUCGUACCUGCUUAUCUAAACCCGUGUUGUGCGCAAUUGAUGGUUUCCAAUUGCCCUGGUCCCUUAAGAGUUCGGUACCAAACGUCUGAAUCCGCCGGAGACUGUGGGGCCCUACCUAGUCGAAGAAAGAAGAGGACAACUGUUGCCGAACUGCUUGAUCCCGUAGCGAGACACGUUGGGGUAAGUGCAAACUCGAAUGUAUCCCAAUCCCCUCCUCGGAUUCACUCUUUCCCAUUUAUUUUAAUUUAUAAACUUAUUUACCCAUUAAUAUACAGUCCACUUAACGAACAUAAAAUUUGGUCCUCCGGGCCGGAUAAAAUUGUGUAAAAAAAGAGUGAAUAAGAGGGGACCGUGGAAGGGUCCGGACAUUUGCAAUUUCAGUACCUGAAUCUGCAGGCAGCCUUACCUCAUUCGUGAUCAUCACCUGGACCACUUGUGUCUUGCCGGUUCCGGGUGGGGGCUUCUGGAGGUCAAGGGAGCGAAGUUACAGGUACAACAAGAAGUCACCAGAAGACGAGUGUAAAUCAUUGAGUGUAAAUCAUUCUACAACAGGAAGGGUUCUUCUGCGCUUCAGAGGAACAGGGCUACACACUAGAAGGCCAGGACAGGGUCGAUUCAUCCGUCAUCAGGCUCUACAAAACCACAGCAUUACGCAUGACCUCCUGCGGCCAGAUGUUGAGAUAGGCCCGGCCGUGUCAAUUAUGACGUCGAGAUGACAGCUGAGGGGGUGUGAACAGGCCGACUGCGUCCAUCUGUUUCAGCAGCCCACCCAAGGAAACCAGCAAUACACUUCAGACUUAAACUAUUUCCCAAAUCGCAUA